GACGAACGCGGGCGGCGUGCCUAAUACAUGCAAGUUGAGCGCUGAAGGGUUGGUACUUGUACCAACUGGAUGAGCAGCGAACGGGUGAGUAACGCGUGGGGAAUCUGCCUUUGAGCGGGGGGACAACAUUUGGAAACGAAUGCUAAUACCGCAUAAAAACUUUAAACACAAGUUUUAAGUUUGAAAGAUGCAAUUGCAUCACUCAAAGAUGAUCCCGCGUUGUAUUAGCUAGUUGGUGAGGUAAAGGCUCACCAAGGCGAUGAUACAUAGCCGACCUGAGAGGGUGAUCGGCCACAUUGGGAUGAGACACGGCCCAAACUCCUACGGGAGGCAGCAGUAGGGAAUCUUCGGCAAUGGACGAAAGUCUGACCGAGCAACGGCCGCGUGAGUGAAGAAAGGGUUUU
rnacentral:rRNA from 1 species